rnacentral:rRNA from 1 species
CCUACGGGUGGCAGCAGUGAGGAAUAUUGGUCAAUGGACGAGAGUCUGAACCAGCCAAGUAGCGUGAAGGAUGACUGCCCUAUGGGUUGUAAACUUCUGUUAUAAAGGAAUAAAACGAGGCACGUGUGCCUUUUUGCAUUUACUUUCUGAAUAAGGAUCGGCUAACUCCGUGCCAGCAGCCGCGGUAAUACGGAGGAUGCGAGCGUUAUCCGGAUGUAUUGGGUUUAAAGGGUGCGUAGGCGGGCUUUUAAGUCAGCGGUAAAAAUUCGGGGCUCAACACCGUCCGGCCGUUGAAACUGGGGGACUUGAGUGGGCGAGAAGAAGGCGGAAUGCGUUGUGUAGCGGUGAAAUGUAUAGAUAUCACGCAGAACCCCGAUUGCGAAGGCAGCCUUCCGGCGCCCUACUGACGCUGAGGCACGAAAGUGCGGGGAUCGAACAGGAUUAGAUACCCUGGUAGUC